GAUGAUGUAGCUCAGGGGUACAGCAUUUACCUAGCAUGCAUGAGGCCUAGGCUCAAGCCCCAGCAACAUUA
rnacentral:tRNA from 1 species